rnacentral:rRNA from 1 species
AUUGAACGCUGGCGGCAGGCCUAAGACAAGCAAGUCGAACGAAUGGCGGACGGGUGAGGAAUGUCUGGGAAAGUGGCUGAUGGAGGGGGAUAACUACGGGAAACGGUAGGUAAUACCGCAUGACAUCGGAUGUGCCCAGAUGGGAGUAGCUAGUAGGUGGGGUAAAGGCUCACCUAGGCGACGAACCCUAGCUGGUCUGAGAGGAUGACCAGCCACACUGCAACUGAGACACGGUCCAGACUCCUACGAGAGGCAGCAGUGGGGAAUAUUGCACAAUGGGCGCAAGCCUGCUGCAGCCAUGCCGCGUGUAUGAAGAAGUCCUUCGGGUUUUAAAGUACUUUCAGCGGGGAGGCGUUACCCGCAGAAGAAGCCCCGGCUAACUCCGUGCCAGCCGCCGCGGUAAUUC